rnacentral:rRNA from 1 species
GCUAAAAUUCUAGCCCCACUUCCCCUAAUGAAACUACAAAAUCUUAAUUUUUUAAUUAAAACAUUCUAACAGUCCAGUAAAGGCGAUUGAAAAACUAAUCGGAGCAAUAUAUAAAGUACCGCAAGGGAAAGAUGAAAUACAAUGAAACACUUCAAGCACAAAAAAGUAGAGAUUUAUCCUCGUACCUUUUGCAUCAUGGUUUAACUAGUCCAACCAAGCAAAAAGACUUUAAGUUUGACCUCCCGAAACUAAGCGAGCUACUUCAAGGCAGCCUAUCGAGCCAACCCGUCUCUGUUGCAAAAGAGUGGGAAGACCUUCAAGUAGAGGUGACAGACCUAACGAGCCUAGUGAUAGCUGGUUACUCAAGAAAAAGAUUUAGUCUAACCUAAAGUCAACUUAAUAAUGAAAAAUAAAAAUUUGACUUUAGAGCCAUUCAAAUAAGGUACAGCCUAUUUGAAACAGGACACAACCUCGACUAACGGGUAAGCUAAUGAUCUUACACAACCAAGUGGGCCUAAAAGCAGCCACCUUUAAGAUAGCGUCAAAGCUUAAUUAUGUUAGCAUUUAAUCUCCACAAUUUUCACCAACCCUUUAUUUAUAUUGAGUAAUUCUAUACGCUUAUAGAACUUUUCAUGUUAAAACUAGUAACAAGAAGAAGACCUUCUCUUAAAUGCAAGUAUAAAUCAGGAAGGACACACCGCUGAUGAUUAACACCUAUGAACAAAAAGUUGUAACCAAACAAGAAAACUCUACUUAUCUUUAUGUUAAUCUAACACAAGAGCAUUCCAAGAAAGAUUGAAAGAAAAAGAAGGAACUCGGCAAAUAUUAACCUCGCCUGUUUACCAAAAACAUCGCCUCUUGUAAAACCAUAAGAGGUCCAGCCUGCCCAGUGACUCUGUUCAACGGCCGCGGUAUCCUAACCGUGCGAAGGUAGCGUAAUCACUUGUUCUUUAAAUGAGGACUAGUAUGAAUGGCACCACGAGGGUUAUACUGUCUCCUUUUUCCAAUCAGUGAAACUAAUCUCCCCGUGAAGAAGCGGGGAUUAAUUUAUAAGACGAGAAGACCCUAUGGAGCUUUAAACAAGAUAACAAUUGCUAAUUAAUAUACUUAUUUCAGAAAACUAGACUUCACCUUAGCACUCUGAUUAUCAGUUUUAGGUUGGGGUGACCGCGGAGUAAAAAUUAACCUCCACAUUGAAAUGGAAUUUUAUCCUAAGCAAAAAGCUACAACUUUAUGCAUCAGAAAACUGACAUUAAUUGACCCAAUAUUUUGAUCAACGAACCAAGUUACCCUAGGGAUAACAGCGCAAUCCACUUCAAGAGCUCAUAUCGACAAGUGGGUUUACGACCUCGAUGUUGGAUCAGGGUAUCCCAGUGGUGCAGCCGCUACUAAAGGUUCGUUUGUUCAACGAUUAAAACCCU